rnacentral:rRNA from 1 species
CCAACGGGAGGCAGCAGUGGGGAAUAUUGGACAAUGGGGGAAACCCUGAUCCAGCCAUGCCGCGUGUGUGAAGAAGGCCUUCGGGUUGUAAAGCAUUUUAAGCGAGGAGGAAGGUUCGUUACUUAAUACGUAACGGAAUUGACGUUACUCGCAGAAUAAGCACCGGCUAACUCUGUGCCAGCAGCCGCGGUAAUACAGAGGGUGCAAGCGUUAAUCGGAAUUACUGGGCGUAAAGCGCGCGUAGGCGGUUGUGUAAGUUGGAUGUGAAAUCCCAGGGCUCAACCUGGGCACUGCAUUCAAAACUGCACGGCUAGAGUAUGGGAGAGGAAGGUAGAAUUCCAGGUGUAGCGGUGAAAUGCGUAGAGAUCUGGAGGAAUACCGAUGGCGAAGGCAGCCUUCUGGCCUAAUACUGACGCUGAGGUGCGAAAGCAUGGGGAGCAAACAGGAUUAGAUACCCUGGUAGUCCAUGCCGUAAACGAUGUCGACUAGGUGUUGGGGAACUUGAUUCCUUAGUGCCGCAGCUAACGCAUUAAGUCGACCGCCUGGGGAGUACGACCGCAAGGUUAAAACUCAAAUGAAUUGACGGGGGCCAGCACAAGCGGUGGAGCAUGUGGUUUAAUUCGAUGCAACGCGAAGAACCUUAC